rnacentral:rRNA from 1 species
CUCGUAGGUGGCCAACUAAGUCAAACGUGAAAUCCCUCGGCUUAACCGGGGAACUGCGUUUGAUACUGGAUGGCUUGAGUUUGGGAGAGGGAUGCGGAAUUCCAGGUGUAGCGGUGAAAUGCGUAGAUAUCUGGAGGAACACCGGUGGCGAAGGCGGCAUCCUGGACCAAUACUGACGCUGAGGAGCGAAAGCCAGGGGGAGCAAACG